rnacentral:rRNA from 1 species
GAUGAACGCUGGCGGCGUGCCUAAUACAUGCAAGUCGAGCGGUAAGGCCCCUUCGGGGGUACACGAGCGGCGGACGGCUGAGUAACACGUAGGAACGUACCCCAAAGUGAGGGAUAAGCACCAGAAAUGGUGUCUAAUACCGCAUGUGCUCUAAGGAGUAAAGCUUCGGCGCUUUGGGAACGGCCUGCGCAUGAUUAGCUUGUUGGUGAGGUAAUGGCUCACCAAGGCGACGAUCAUUAGCUGGUCUGAGAGGAUGACCAGCCAGACUGGGACUGAGAACGGCCCAGACUCCUACGGGAGGCAGCAGUAGGGAAUUUUCCACAAUGGGCGAAAGCCUGAUGGAGCAACGCCGCGUGCAGGAUGAAUGCCUUCGGGUUGUAAACCUCUUUUAGCAAGGAAGAAGCGAAAGUGACGGUACUUGCAGAAAAAGCGCCGGCUAACUACGUGCCAGCAGCCGCGGUAAAAC